rnacentral:rRNA from 1 species
UCUUCGAUGGAGGGUAUCGAUUCUGGCUCAGGAUGAACGCUGGCGGCGUGCUUAACACAUGCAAGUCGAACGGGAUCCGACCAGCUUGCUGGUUGGUGAGAGUGGCGAACGGGUGAGUAAUGCGUGACCAACCUGCCCCAUGCUCCAGAAUAGCUCUUGGAAACGGGUGGUAAUGCUGGAUGCUCCAACUUGACGCAUGUCUUGUUGGGAAAGUGUUUAGUGGCAUGGGAUGGGGUCGCGUCCUAUCAGCUUGUAGGCGGGGUAAUGGCCCACCUAGGCUUCGACGGGUAGCCGGCCUGAGAGGGCGGACGGCCACAUUGGGACUGAGAUACGGCCCAGACUCCUACGGGAGGCAGCAGUGGGGAAUAUUGCGCAAUGGGGGAAACCCUGACGCAGCGACGCCGCGUGCGGGAUGAAGGCCUUCGGGUUGUAAACCGCUUUUGAUUGGGAGCAAGCCUUUUGGGUGAGUGUACCUUUCGAAUAAGCGCCGGCUAACUACGUGCCAGCAGCCGCGGUAAUACGUAGGGCGCAAGCGUUAUCCGGAAUUAUUGGGCGUAAAGAGCUUGUAGGCGGUUCGUCGCGUCUGGUGUGAAAGCCCAUCGCUUAACGGUGGGUUUGCGCCGGGUACGGGCGGGCUAGAGUGCAGUAGGGGAGACUGGAAUUCCCGGUGUAACGGUGGAAUGUGUAGAUAUCGGGAAGAACACCAAUGGCGAAGGCAGGUCUCUGGGCUGUUACUGACGCUGAGAAGCGAAAGCGUGGGGAGCGAACAGGAUUAGAUACCCUGGUAGUCCACGCCGUAAACGGUGGACGCUGGAUGUGGGGCCCAUUCCACGGGUUCUGUGUCGGAGCUAACGCGUUAAGCGUCCCGCCUGGGGAGUACGGCCGCAAGGCUAAAACUCAAAGAAAUUGACGGGGGCCCGCACAAGCGGCGGAGCAUGCGGAUUAAUUCGAUGCAACGCGAAGAACCUUACCUGGGCUUGACAUGUGCCUGACGACUGCAGAAGAUGUGGUUUCCCUUCGGGGCAAGGUUCACAGGUGGUGCAUGGUCGUCAAAA